GCGCCCGUAGCUCAGCUGGAUAGAGUGUUUGGCUACGAACCAAAAGGUCGGGGGUUCGAACCCCUCCGGGCGUGCCA
rnacentral:tRNA from 1 species